rnacentral:lncRNA from 1 species
AUGGGCUCACGACUUGACAAAUCAAGAGUAACCAACCUUGGCAGGCUUGAAAUCUCAGUAGGAAUCUACCCUGUGAAGCCACAAUGAGAAAGAUUCAGGUAAGUCAAAUUUGUGAGGUUGGCCAACCUGGAUGGCAUAGGGAAUCCGUAGAAGAGAGUGAAACCCAAAUUUAGACUCUGCAGAUAUUGAAGACUGAAAAGGCCAGAUGCGUUCUCAAGACUGCCGAUGAGUAUUGGUUCCGCGCUCAAGUCGAGGCCAAUAACAUGACCAGCCUCAUCGCAAUCUACUCCGUUCCAAUUACAACAAUCGGUGCUUUCACUCCACUGACUCAUUUUUACAGGUGGAGUAGAAUCAACGUCAAAUAUGAAGCUGUUCUUCAUCUGGAUUAACAGCUCUGAAUUCAAAGAAUAUUUGAUGAGAUCCCCCCAGUUAAAUCAUUAGACGAAAGGUUUAGGUAGUUGAGAUUUCUUGACAUGUAAAGCCGAAGAGUUGGGAUGGGAUCUGAGAAAUGGUUAGAUGAGAAGUCCAAGUGAAAUAAUUGGGUGAGAUUAGCCAUUGAAGUGGGAAUUGGCCUAGUGAAAUUGCAACUGCUAACAUCUACACUUGCCAAAUUUUCAAGGUUCCCAAUGGAAUCUGGUAGUUUGCCCGAGAAGCUCGUGUUCUUCAGGUUCAGGUUCCGAAGAGAAGAAUUCUUAGGAAAGUGAGGUAGAGAACCCUGAAGCAAUGAGUUAUAUGACAAGUCAAGAGUCUCAAGUGUAGGUACCUGCAAUACCUUUUCUGGAAACUUCCCGUGCAAAUCACACUGGCUGAGAUCCAAGGUGGUCAAAUUUAACAAAUUGGCCACAAACUCUGGCACUUGACAUGACACAGCAUGAUUGUCACGCAAACGAAUAACUGAGAGUGACAGUAAAUUUGCCAGGUGAUGAUUUAUAGGAUCUGAAAGAAGACAGUUAGACAAGUUUAAAACUUGUAGAUUAGGCAGAAAAGACAUAGCUUUGCACCAUUCAGUCCUGCGGCCUGACAAAUCUACAUUAUCAAGGUACAGUUCUCUGAGCUCUGUUAAGUUCUGAAAAAAGUUGAAAUUUGGGAUCUCAAGUCUCCAGGAAAAUCCGCUUAUGGGCUCACGACUUGACAAAUCAAGAGUAACCAACCUUGGCAGGCUUGAAAUCUCAGUAGGAAUCUACCCUGUGAAGCCACAAUGAGAAAGAUUCAGGUAAGUCAAAUUUGUGAGGUUGGCCAACCUGGAUGGCAUAGGGAAUCCGUAGAAGAGAGUGAAACCCAAAUUUAGACUCUGCAGAUAUUGAAGACUGAAAAGGCCAGAUGCGUUCUCAAGACUGCCGAUGAGUAUUGGUUCCGCGCUCAAGUCGAGACCAAUAACAUGACCAGCCUCAUCGCAAUCUACUCCGUUCCAAUCACAACAAUCGGUGCUUUCACUCCACUGACUCAUUUUUGCAGGUGGAGUAGAAUCAACGUCAAAUAUGAAGCUGUUCUUCAUCUGGAUUAACAGCAAUUUUUGAUCGCUCUGACACUGGCCAGACACCAAAACCAUAUGCAUCCCAAAAUAAUUGACUAAAAAGGGUGUCAAGAAAAGCCAUGAUAAGAGUAAAAUUGAUCUCAUGAUUGGGUUUAAUAGUAGUUGAAAUGAAACUCAUAGAAGGGAUGAAACUUUCAAGUUGCAAUGUAUAUGUAAUAUAGACUGAUAUAAUAUAGCAGAGGUGGCCCAAGUUAACGAAUUACUAAUUAGAAAGCAGCCGAGGAGGACUUCAGGUCAGCAUGAUGGAAUUGUAAGCACCAUGCGCUGAUUAUUCACGCGGUUUUGACAGAAAAGAAGAGUCGUAACAUGUUGGCAGACAUGAAUAGGUUAAGAUUGAAAAAUUGAAGAGUAGGAGUCUUAUAUUUCCCUGGUAGAAAGCAAGUGAAAAUUAUUAGAUCACAUGAGUUACUACAACAACCUGACUUAACGGUAUCUAUUAACUUACUGAAUCUUCUGC